GUAAGUUUAAACAAGAUAUUGCUUUUGAUUACUUCUGCUGAGCUGCUUAGGAAGUUAGCUAAAGUGACGAAGAUGUGUCAUCACAGCAGGAUAAAUGUAAAAAAAAGCAAGUUCUGCAGCAAAAUCAUUGUUCCAUCGCUAUAUAUAUUCAGCACUAUAACUGCACAUGUCACAAAACUUUGCUUGAAUCAUACCGCCCUCAAGAUAUAUUGUUUACAAAUAACUCCCUCUGGUGCAGGAUUAAUCCCUUCAAUAUUGCUACUGAUACUGUUGGCUACACAUUCUCAGAGGUUAUAGCUACCACAGAAAUACAACUUACCUUUGUUAGCAGUCUUGCUAGGAUGAAAAA